rnacentral:rRNA from 1 species
UACGUAGGUGGCAAGCGUUGUCCGGAAUUAUUGGGCGUAAAGCGCUCGUAGGCGGGACAGGAAGUUCGUGUUGAAAGACCUCGGCUCAACUGAGGGACCGGCUCGAAUACUCUUGUUCUUGAGGCAAUCAGAGGGUGAUGGAAUUCCCGGUGUAGCGGUGAAAAUGCGUAGAUAUCGGGAGGAACACCAGUGGCGAAGGCGAUCACCUGGGGUUGUUCUGACGCUGAGGAGCGAAAGCUAGGGGAGCAAACGGG